UACGUAGGGGGCAAGCGUUGUCCGGAAUCAUUGGGCGUAAAGCGUGCGCAGGCGGUUAUGUAAGACAGAUGUGAAAUCCCCGGGCUUAACCUGGGAACUGCAUUUGUGACUGGCGGACUCGAGUAUGGCAGAGGGGGGUAGAAUUCCACGUGUAGCAGUGAAAUGCGUAGAGAUGUGGAGGAAUACCGAUGGCGAAGGCAGCCCCCUGGGCCAAUACUGACGCUCAUGCACGAAAGCGUGGGGAGCAAACAGG
rnacentral:rRNA from 1 species